CGGAGCGUGGCGCAGCCUGGUAGCGCACCUGCUUUGGGAGCAGGAAGUCGCUGGUUCGAAUCCAGUCGCUCCGACCA
rnacentral:tRNA from 1 species